GUGGAGCUGCUGAGACAUGAACCAGCGCCUAUAUGGGAUCUGGGUUCAUACUAAGUGAGAAUUUGAGCAGCUAGGCUGCCGCACUGGGCCUAACUCUGCUUUUUUUUUUUUUUUUUUUAAUAAAUAAAAAAGAAUUCCAGAGGCAGUCUCAAGGGUAUGAGAGAAAGCAGGCUGCAGCCAUGGAAGGCAAGUUGGAUGCUAUGUCUGAUCCAAGAGAAGGUGGUGGGGCCUCAGGCCAGCACUAUCUGUCAGAAUGGAGAAGAAGGUGCUCAGGAGCAGUCUGUAUUCCAUGUACUCAGGGAUCUAAGUUGACAGAGGCUCCAUCCCCCCCACGCACCUGGAACACUUGGCUUCCUGGGGUGAGAGAUAUGGGUGCUCUUCCACUUACGAAGAGAAAGGCUUUCUGGAAGAGUGUGUGGAUGACAGGGAUUGAGCACAAGUGACCCGGCGAUGGCCAGACUUGGUUUCGUUGAUUCAGCCAGCGGCAUCUCUGCAGCAACCUUGUGCACGUUAGCAGGUGCCACCCCAGGGUCACCAUGUGGGCUUGGUGAGACACACAGUCCUGACCCUGGCCUCCCCUUGCAGAUUCCUGAGGUCUCAGAAAUGUCUGUGAACCUAUGAGUGACUUCCAAGAGGGUUCCACUGCUGCCAAAGAACUUCAGCCUGUAUUGCCUUCAAAAGGAGUUCCUUUAUUUGAUGAAGAGUCCCAGGUGAAUGCAGUAGAUGCAGCUAGAGAUGGCUAUUUAUUUUGUUUUUAAGAUUUCAUU